GACGAUAAGACCCUAUAAAACUUGACAUAUAUUAUAUCAUCUCUUAGAGUUGUUAAGUGGAAUAUAAGAUGAUUAAGUGUGUUUUGUUGGGGCGGCAUGAAUAUAAUUUGUAACUGUUCAUUAGGUGUAAUAUAGAUAAAUAGAUAUUGGUCCUUUAUUAAGGAGGUAAGAGUAAGUUACUU
rnacentral:rRNA from 1 species